GAUGAACGCUGGCGGCGUGCCUAAUACAUGCAAGUCGAGCGAACAGACGAGGAGCUUGCUCCUCUGACGUUAGCGGCGGACGGGUGAGUUACAUGUGGAUAACCUACCUAUAAGACUGUGAUAACUUCGGGAAACCGGUGCUAAUACCUGCUAAUAUCUUGAACCGCAUGGUUCAAUAGUGAAAUACGGUUUUGCUGUCACUUAUUGAUUGAUCCGCGCCGCAUUAGCUAGUUGGUAAGGUAACGGCUUACCAAGGCAACGAUGAGUAGCCGACCUGAGAGGGUGAUCGGCCACACUGGAACUGAGACACGGCCCAGACUCCUACGGGAGGCAGCAGUAGGGAAUCUUCCGCAAUGGGCGAAAGCGUGACGGAGCAACGCCGCGUGAGUGAAGAAGGUCUUCGGAUCGUAAAACUCUGUUAUUAGGGAAGAACAAAUGUGUAAGUAACUAUGCACGGCUUGACGGUACCUAAUCAGAAAGCCACGGCUAACUACGUG
rnacentral:rRNA from 1 species